rnacentral:rRNA from 1 species
CCUACGGGUGACAGCAGUGGGGAAUAUUGCACAAUGGGGGAAACCCUGAUGCAGCAACGCCGCGUGAAGGAAGACGGUUUUCGGAUUGUAAACUUCUGUUCUUAGUGAAGAAUAAUGACGGUAGCUAAGGAGCAAGCCACGGCUAACUACGUGCCAGCAGCCGCGGUAAUACGUAGGGGGCAAGCGUUAUCCGGAUUUACUGGGUGUAAAGGGAGCGUAGGCGGUUUAGCAAGUCAGAAGUGAAAGCCCGGGGCUCAACUCCGGGACUGCUUUUGAAACUGUUGAACUAGAUUGCAGGAGAGGUAAGUGGAAUUCCUAGUGUAGCGGUGAAAUGCGUAGAUAUUAGGAGGAACACCAGUGGCGAAGGCGGCUUACUGGACUGUAAAUGACGCUGAGGCUCGAAAGCGUGGGGAGCAAACAGGAUUAGAUACCCGGAUAGUC